UGAAUCAGGAAGUGAAGUUCAGAUGUUGGGACUCUGUUCCGAAGUAGGAGAAGGCUGUGAAGGUUGAUCUCCUCCGCAGAUAAUGGGAAAUGGUUGGGAAGAAGUGAUGAACCGUGAGCAGGAUGCAGGGGAAUUUAGCUGGGACAUCCGUGGGAUAAGGAUGCAAUCCAUGAUAGAGUUAAUCCGAACAGGAUAGAAGGAAGAAAUUCGGGAAC
rnacentral:lncRNA from 1 species